rnacentral:tRNA from 1 species
GCGGGAAUUGCCAAGUUUGGCCAAGAGCGCCCGAUUAAAGAUCCAGUCUCGUAGGGGUUCGGGAGUUCAAAUCUCCCUUCCCGCA